CAGUAUCGUAGAGGUCCAGCGGGCUCUUAUAGAGGACCUGAGACCUCCGUGCUCAUUGUCAACGGAUGCAGGUGCUCAUGUGGGUCCCACAGAUUCCAGCAGAUCCGCCACCAGCUCUAGCUCGGUAGACAAGAACAACUUUCAAUGUCUCCCCUCCAUUUGUCUGGCCUCCUCCCCCCAACUUCUCUCUCACCCAGCCAGCGUUUCCCCCAGUGUGUCCUCCUAUAGCUCUGGGACGGGGCAGUCUGUCUAGUGCCUGCCUCCUUCCUCUGGUCACCCUUCAGAGCCGGCAGUCAGGGGGAGAGAGAAGAGGAACCUGACGCCUGAGCAGAGGCGACAGACAGCUGGCCAAAAAGGCACAAUGAAGUCCCAGCCUCAAAAGCACUGUCAACAGAAGGGCUUUACAUCAGGACAUCAUCCAGGAGGAAGCAACGUCUGUGUGUAAAUGACCGUGUGGUCAUGGAGAGAAGGAGAGGAGGAACUGGAAGAUUCAUCGGACCACUGGACGACAUAGACACUGCAGACAUCUAUAUCGGAGGGGAACUGGACACAGCCAGUGGAGAAAAUGAUGGAGGCCUCCACUGUAUCAGAUCUCUCGGUCACCCCACUCCUCCAAAGCCCCAGACAACAACGGUAAUGACUCUGGGUUGACUGCAGGGAGGGACGGCCUGGGUGUUGGGAGAGAAGGUGGCAAGAGACUCGGACGUACCUGGAACCAGAUGGACAUCAGAGCUCUCAUUCAUUCAGACCUAGGAGCACCAGUGGUCAACCCAGGACCAGACUGACAGAACUGAUUAAGCACUUAUCUAGGGCUGACAACUCUGACCU